rnacentral:rRNA from 1 species
UACGUAGGGGGCAAGCGUUGUCCGGAUUUAUUGGGCGUAAAGAGCGUGUAGGCGGCUUGGUAAGUCCGCUGUGAAAUCUCGAGGCUCAACUUCGAGCUGUCGGUGGAAACUGUCUGGCUAGAGUCCGGAAGAGGAGAAUGGAAUUCCUGGUGUAGCGGUGAAAUGCGCAGAUAUCAGGAAGAACACCCGUGGCGAAGGCGGUUCUCUGGGACGGUACUGACGCUGAGACGCGAAAGCGUGGGGAGCGAACAGG